rnacentral:rRNA from 1 species
GACGAACGCUGGCGGCGUGCCUAAUACAUGCAAGUAGAACGCAGUUGCGAACGGGUGAGUAACGUGUAGGUAACUGCCUCAUAGCGGGGGAUAACUAUUGGAAACGAUAGCUAAUACCGCAUACCGUGAGACGGACCUGCGUUGUAUUAGCUAGUUGGUGAGGUAAAGGCUCACCAAGGCGCCGAUACAUAGCCGACCUGAGAGGGUGAUCGGCCACCCUGGGACUGGGACACGGCCCAGACUCCUACGGGGAGCAGCAGUAGGGAAUCUUCGGCAAUGGACGGAAGUCUGACCAAGACACGCCGCGUGAGUGAAGAGGGUUUUCGGGUCGUAAAGCUCUGUUGUUAGAGAAGCGGUAGCUAACCAGAAAGGAACGGCUAACUACGUGCCAGCAGCCGCGGUAAUAC